CCUACGGGGGGCUGCCGUCGAGGAUCAUUCGCAAUGGGCGAAAGCCUGACGAUGCGACGCUGCGUGGAGGAUGACGGCCCUCGGGUUGUAAACUCCUGUCAUGAGGGAAAAAGGGACCCGCGACAACAUCAAGGGAACCGGAUGGUACCUCAAGAGGAAGCCACGGCUAACUAUGUGCCAGCAGCCGCGGUAAUACAGAGGUGGCGAGCGUUGUUCGGAUUUACUGGGCGUGAAGGGCGCGUAGGCGGCGGAGUGUGUCGGGUGUGAAAUCCCAGGGCCCAACCCUGGAAGUGCGCCCGAAACUGCUCGGCUCGAGGGCGGGAGGGGUGAUCGGAAUGCAGGGUGUAGCGGUGAAAUGCGUUGAUAUCCUGCAGAACACCGGUGGCGAAGGCGGUUCUCUGGAACGCAACUGACGCUGAGGCGCGAAAGUCGGGGGAGCAAACA
rnacentral:rRNA from 1 species